rnacentral:rRNA from 1 species
AAUAGAUACCCGGGUAGUCCACGCCGUAAACGGUGGGCACUAGGUGUGGGCGACAUUCCACGUCGUCCGUGCCGCAGCUAACGCAUUAAGUGCCCCGCCUGGGGAGUACGGCCGCAAGGCUAAAACUCAAAGGAAUUGACGGGGGGCCCGCACAAGCGGCGGAGCAUGUGGCUUAAUUCGACGCAACGCGAAGAACCUUACCAAGGCUUGACAUACACCGGAAACGUCCAGAGAUGGGCGCCCCCUUGUGGUCGGUGUACAGGUGGUGCAUGGCUGUCGUCAGCUCGUGUCGUGAGAUGUUGGGUUAAGUCCCGCAACGAGCGCAACCCUUGUCCCGUGUUGCCAGCAGGCCCUUGUGGUGCUGGGGACUCACGGGAGACCGCCGGGGUCAACUCGGAGGAAGGUGGGGACGACGUCAAGUCAUCAUGCCCCUUAUGUCUUGGGCUGCACACGUGCUACAAUGGCCGGUACAAUGAGCUGCGAUACCGCGAGGUGGAGCGAAUCUCAAAAAGCCGGUCUCAGUUCGGAUUGGGGUCUGCUAACCG